AUUCAUUGUCUCUUAUUGUAACCGUCAAACUAAAAUAUCUUCACUAAUUUUGAUUCCUGGGUUUCAUUGUAUUUAAUUUAAUUAACUUCAAUUCUCAGUGAAACUUUGAUCUAAUGUAAUCACGAACAUUUUGUGUGCGGUUAAAGAUUCAAUACAAUUGAUAUUUAUUGUGUGUAAAUUGAUUUCUUUUGAUUACCUCUCGUGACUCUGGUUGGAUCAGUAAUUUGAUUGAGCUUUUAUUUUUACUUUUCAUUAUUUUCAUCGUUUCAAUUUUCUUCUUUCAAACAUCUUCUGCUAAUUUAAUUUCUCUAAAACUGUUUCACCAUCAUCAUCACCACCACCAAUAAAUCGAUUUGAAUGAACCAGAUAAUAAAUUGGUUUCUUUCUCUUGUCAUUCAAAACGGCCAAACAAUCAGAGCUCGACCCAGUUGACAAAACAUGAUAGUGAUGAGAUCAAGGAUGGGUAAAGUAGCUAUCGAGGUAAAACCUAAAUUGUUGAUCUUUAAAGGACAAUUGAAUCUCAUGAGUCUUAAUUCAGUCAAGGCUACAAGAAUGGUUAAAUAUUUCAUUGUUAUGAAGUCACAAGUGAACGAUGCUAAUAACCUAAUCAAAUGGAUUUGCUAUGGUCACCAUUUAUAAGAGUGAGAUGCUGAUUCUAAUGAGUAAAUAACGGAAAUAUUUUUAUUGACCUUAACUGACCUAAACACUGUUUCCAAUGGACACAAAGCAGUGCUGUGCUGCUCAUUUAAGGAGUAGCACCAUUAUCAUCAUCACUGAACUUGAUAAUAUUUUUUUCUGGUUAACUUUCGAGUAAUUGAUUCUCUUUCUCUCCUUACAAUGGACCAAAACUGUGAGAAUAAUUUGCACCAAACAUAACCUACUGCGGAGAAGGAAUUUUUUGAUAACUUUGAAAUCUAACGUGAAUGAUACUUAUCGCAAGAUGUUACAAAAUGAGUGAUGAAGAUGAUGGCCAGAAGAAGAUGAUUACUGAAGAUAAAAAUAAACAAUUGAAGCCUGAAGAUUUAUUUAUCUAUUUUGUAUCAACAGGACCAACUGUGAAUCAAUAAUUUUAAAUUGGGCCAUUCUAAUAAUCUAAAUGUUGCUGGUUAACUCUUCACUUGUUGUUAUAAUUCAGAGUUGACAAGGAACCAUUUUAAAAGUUGUCAUCAUCAUCUUGUUUCUAUUAUCAUGAUUUCGAUUAUUAUUAUCAUUAUUUGUUGGUACCUUUAACUAUUAACAGCAACAACGCUAUUAUCAUCAUGAUCUGUGUUGCUCAAAGGCUGCUGGUAGUAAUAAUAAACAGUUUAACCGGUUAAUAAUAGCACCAAAGCUCAAUCUAAAAGUACAGAAUUGAAAAGUUAUUGCUGCCAGCAUCAACACGCCCUCUCAUUAUCAGCUUACUGACCUGACUAUUUGUCCACUUUUGGAAAUAAUUUCACUUGAUGUUUUUCAAUUGCAAAAAAAAGAGAUUGGUGAAAGAGUGGAAAACAUGGUAGCGAACAAUUUUUGAAACCUGAAUAUUUAAUAUUUCUAUUGAAAAUGGUUGGCUCAUUCAAUCAAUCUGAUUACAUCAACUUUGACAAUAAUAGGCAUCUUCAUAGAUCCUGUUUUCUGGUUGAGCAAAUCUGAAGAUUCAAAUAAUCAAGAAUCGCCACUUUCAUCAUCCUCAUCAUGACCAAUAACGAAAAUUACAAAACAUUUUCCAACAUGCAUCAAGAUUUUCAAUUAUUUCAUCAUUAAUUCGUGAAAACUGUUAAUUUAAGGACUACAAACUAAAGGCUGUCAUGAUGCAAAAACGUUCAUCACAAGAGAAAGCCUCGCCAUCAACAUCAAUCACAUCACUCAUGUCUUACUUACAUCACCAUAAUCAUAAUAAUAAACAUCAUCAACAAAUUUGACAAAUUUGGCUCAUUAUACAAGUUGGUUUGUGUCAAAGGAGACUCACAAUAUUGGGAUCAAAGUAAAUGGUACCAAAUGCCGGAGUUGAAUAAUCAAAAUUUGACCUCGAAGUGGUUUCAAUUAACUCUUUACAAUUGAUGUAUCAAAGAAAGAAAAAAGAUUUCAUCAAAUUUCAUUGAAAAAACUGCGCUGAAUGGUCAACUGAACAGAUUCAAAGUCAUCGGCUUCAAUAGCAUAUUCAUGAAUGGAGAUAUUGAGAAAACCUUUCAAUCUUUAUCAUAAAAAACAAGUCAAAAACACGAUGAAAAAACAUGAAAUGAAAAAAUGAAUCAGGAACCAAUGGUAACCUCCAAAUUUUCUUUGGCCUGUAAAACUGUAACAUACACUUUCAAUGAUCAGGUUGAUAAAUGGAAAUAAGAUUAAUUCACUGCAUGGGUCUAGACAAUACAUCUUACAAGGAAGGGAUUACUAUUUAAUCAAAGAAUUGUCAAGAAAAUGUAAAAAUGUAUCAAAAUAAUACAAUCAAGUUCAAUAUUUUAUCCAAUGAUAUUUACACUGUUCAACCCCGGGAAUAAUCAAUCAAGAUAAAUUGUUGGCUUUAUUGUUUGGCCAAUAAUCAAGGUUAUAUCCUGAUUCUGGAUGGUGCAGUUAUUUGACUGAAAUUUUCAACAAAUAAUGAAAGGGCAAUAUAAAUAAAUUUUGUUAAGGCCUCACAGUUGGAUGAAAAGAUGUAUUGGUCAACCCGUGUUCAUGAUGAUGACCCUUACAAAACGAGUUGAAAUCACAAUCAAUCCACUAAUUGUAUUGCUGAAGACGGAGAAGAAGAAGAAGAAGAAAGGAGAAAUUAUUAAACAAAACCAUCUUCCUUUAACUAAAUCAAAUUUAACUAAAGGUUUACUGUUAACAGCAGGAAAAGUGUUUCAUUGAAAACAAAAAGAUGAAACAUUCAAGGUAAUGAAAGAUUGCGUGAGAUGGAUUCAUAUUACAUGGUGAUGUUGAUCCGGAUGAUGAUUAUAAAGAAGUGUUACUCUUGUUUUUUUCCUCAUUUUUUGGUAAAUUGCUAAUCUUAAAGACGAAGUGCAAUGUUCCUCUAAGGCCAUAAUAUCUUCAUCAUCAUCAUCACCUUAUAGCCUUUAACUGUCAUCUCUUUCAUUCUGUUCAUCACUAUUAUCGCUGGAGCCACUUUUUUACCUUCAAAGUCUUAUAAUAUUGUUGCAUUGAAACGCGUGGCUUGACUUUACACGCUCAACGAUUUCUGGCUAAACAUUCGUGUUAUUAUGAAAUGGAUAACGUUUUUCCGAACGGAAUAAGGAAGAAGAUGGUGAAGAUAACAUAAUCAAGAUGGAACCCAAAUAUUGAUUCAAGAUGGUUAUCAAAUUGUUACCAAUAAUAACAAUAAUAUUGUAAAAAUUGUUAACACUUUUUGAAUACCAACACUUGGCUCUAGUAAUCAUCAAUUUUUGAGCUUACAAAUUUUCUGGUUCACAAGCAAUCACAGUAGCUGGUAAACAUUUACUGGAAAUACAAAUGAAAAUUGUUAUCAAAGUAACUAUUUUUAUUUGUAACAAAGUGUUUCAAUAUAAUUAUUCAAUAAUUUGAUUAUCUUCUUGACUGUUCAUCAGCUCUAAUCAAUGAGUCGAUUUGUGUAAACACCAAUUGAUUGAAAGUGUUGAGUUGCACAAUUAAACAAUCAAUUUAACUGUGAAUGUUAAUUUGUAAUCGUUUGAUCAUUUCAACAAUUACUAUUUCUCCAUUCAAUUGACAGUAAUAAGCUUCAAUUGCAUUUCAUCAUACGCGGUUGUUGGUCAUUUUUAUAACAGUUGAUGGUGAUGAUGGUCAAGUAUUGAUGUAUUACGUUUUAAAAAAAGCUCUAGUCAAUAUUGAAGGAUUUGCUGAUUUAUUCAAUUACCCAUUAAACUUGAUUAAAAUAAA